AGCGUACACGGUGGAUGCCUAGGCAGUCAGAGGCGAUGAAGGGCGUGCUAAUCUGCGAAAAGCGUCGGUAAGGUGAUAUGAACCGUUAUAACCGGCGAUACCCGAAUGGGGAAACCCAGUGUGUUUCGACACACUAUCAUGUCAUGAAUACAUAGUGGCAUGAGGCGAACCGGGGGAACUGAAACAUCUAAGUACCCCGAGGAAAAGAAAUCAACCGAGAUUCCCCCAGUAGCGGCGAGCGAACGGGGAGGAGCCCAGAACCUGAAUCGGCUUGUGUGUUAGUGGAAGCGUCUGGAAAGUCGCGCAGCAAAGGGUGAUAGCCCCGUACACUAAAAUGCACAGGUCGUGAGUUCGAUGAGUAGGGCGGGACACGUGACAUCCUGUCUGAAUAUGGGGGGACCAUCCUCCAAGGCUAAAUACUCCUGACUGACCGAUAGUGAACCAGUACCGUGAGGGAAAGGCGAAAAGAACCCCGGCGAGGGGAGUGAAAUAGAACCUGAAACCGUGUACGUACAAGCAGUGGGAGCACCUUCGUGGUGUGACUGCGUACCUUUUGUAUAAUGGGUCAGCGACUUAUAUUUUGUAGCAAGGUUAACCGUAUAGGGGAGCCGUAGGGAAACCGAGUCUUAACUGGGCGAUUAGUUGCAAGGUAUAGACCCGAAACCCGGUGAUCUAGCCAUGGGCAGGUUGAAGGUUGGGUAACACUAACUGGAGGACCGAACCGACUAAUGUUGAAAAAUUAGCGGAUGACUUGUGGCUGGGGGUGAAAGGCCAAUCAAACCGGGAGAUAGCUGGUUCUCCCCGAAAGCUAUUUAGGUAGCGCCUCGUGAACUCAUCUUCGGGGGUAGAGCACUGUUUCGGCUAGGGGGCCAUCCCGGCUUACCAAACCGAUGCAAACUCCGAAUACCGAAGAAUGUUAUCACGGGAGACACACGGCGGGUGCUAACGUCCGUCGUGAAGAGGGAAACAACCCAGACCGCCAGCUAAGGUCCCAAAGUCAUGGUUAAGUGGGAAACGAUGUGGGAAGGCAUAGACAGCCAGGAUGUUGGCUUAGAAGCAGCCAUCAUUUAAAGAAAGCGUAAUAGCUCACUGGUCGAGUCGGCCUGCGCGGAAGAUGUAACGGGGCUAAACCAUGCACCGAAGCUGCGGCAGCGACGCUUAGGCGUUGUUGGGUAGGGGAGCGUUCUGUAAGCCGUUGAAGGUGGCCUGUGAGGGUUGCUGGAGGUAUCAGAAGUGCGAAUGCUGACAUAAGUAACGAUAAAGCGGGUGAAAAGCCCGCUCGCCGGAAGACCAAGGGUUCCUGUCCAACGUUAAUCGGGGCAGGGUGAGUCGACCCCUAAGGCGAGGCUGAAAAGCGUAGUCGAUGGGAAACAGGUUAAUAUUCCUGUACUUGGUGUUACUGCGAAGGGGGGACGGAGAAGGCUAGGCUAGCCGGGCGACGGUUGUCCCGGUUUAAGCGUGUAGGGGGUGUGACCUGGUAAAUCCGGUUGCAUAUUAACCCUGAGGCGUGAUGACGAUGCACUACGGUGCAGAAGUAGUUGAUGCCCUGCUUCCAGGAAAAUCCUCUAAGCAUCAGGUAACAUUAAAUCGUACCCCAAACCGACACAGGUGGUCAGGUAGAGAAUACCAAGGCGCUUGAGAGAACUCGGGUGAAGGAACUAGGCAAAAUGGUGCCGUAACUUCGGGAGAAGGCACGCUGGCAUGUAGGUGAAGUCCCUCGCGGAUGGAGCUGAAGCCAGUCGAAGAUACCAGCUGGCUGCAACUGUUUAAUAAAAACACAGCACUGUGCAAACACGAAAGUGGACGUAUACGGUGUGACGCCUGCCCGGUGCUGGAAGGUUAAUUGAUGGGGUCAGCCGCAAGGCGAAGCUCUUGAUCGAAGCCCCAGUAAACGGCGGCCGUAACUAUAACGGUCCUAAGGUAGCGAAAUUCCUUGUCGGGUAAGUUCCGACCUGCACGAAUGGCGUAAUGAUGGCCAGGCUGUCUCCACCCGAGACUCAGUGAAAUUGAACUCGCUGUGAAGAUGCAGUGUACCCGCGGCAAGACGGAAAGACCCCGUGAACCUUUACUAUAGCUUGACACUGAACAUUGAGCCUUGAUGUGUAGGAUAGGUGGGAGGCUUUGAAGCGUGGACGCCAGUCUGCGUGGAGCCAUCCUUGAAAUACCACCCUUUAAUGUUUGAUGUUCUAACUCGGCCCCAUAAUCUGGGGUGAGGACAGUGUCUGGUGGGUAGUUUGACUGGGGCGGUCUCCUCCCAAAGAGUAACGGAGGAGCACGAAGGUUAGCUAAUCACGGUCGGACAUCGUGAGGUUAGUGCAAAGGCAUAAGCUAGCUUGACUGCGAGAGUGACGGCUCGAGCAGGUACGAAAGUAGGUCUUAGUGAUCCGGUGGUUCUGAAUGGAAGGGCCAUCGCUCAACGGAUAAAAGGUACUCCGGGGAUAACAGGCUGAUACCGCCCAAGAGUUCAUAUCGACGGCGGUGUUUGGCACCUCGAUGUCGGCUCAUCACAUCCUGGGGCUGAAGUAGGUCCCAAGGGUAUGGCUGUUCGCCAUUUAAAGUGGUACGCGAGCUGGGUUUAGAACGUCGUGAGACAGUUCGGUCCCUAUCUGCCGUGGGCGUUGGAAGAUUGAGAGGGGUUGCUCCUAGUACGAGAGGACCGGAGUGAACGCACCACUGGUGUUCGGGUUGUCAUGCCAAUGGCAUUGCCCGGUAGCUAAGUGCGGAAAAGAUAAGCGCUGAAAGCAUCUAAGCGCGAAACUUGCCUCAAGAUGAGUCUUCCCUGGGCCUUUAAGGCCCCUGAAGGAACGUUUAAGACUAAGACGUUGA
rnacentral:rRNA from 1 species